rnacentral:rRNA from 1 species
GACGAACGCUGGCGGCGUGCUUAACACAUGCAAGUCGAACGGAAAGGCCCUGCUUUUGUGGGGUGCUCGAGUGGCGAACGGGUGAGUAACACGUGAGUAACCUGCCCUUGACUUUGGGAUAACUUCAGGAAACUGGGGCUAAUACCGGAUAGGAGCUCCUGCUGCAUGGUGGGGGUUGGAAAGUUUCGGCGGUUGGGGAUGGACUCGCGGCUUAUCAGCUUGUUGGUGGGGUAGUGGCUUACCAAGGCUUUGACGGGUAGCCGGCCUGAGAGGGUGACCGGCCAAAAUGGGAAUGAGAAACGGCCCAGAAUGCUAAGGGAGGCAGGAGGGGGGAAUAUUGCAGAAUGGGGGGAAGCCUGAUGCAGGAACGCCGCGGGGGGGAAGAAGGCCUUCGGGGUGGAAACCGCUUUCGCCUGGGAAGAAGCGGGAGUGAAGGUAAUGGGUAAAGAAGCACCGGCUAAAUAAGUG